ACCACCUAGCAAAGACAUUUUUGACUUUUAAAGUGUGUCUUAGUCUAACACAAUAAAUUAAUUUACCUUUCCUGGGCUAAAGAUGUAUUUACUUAAUCUCCAAAAUAUAAGAGCUUCUUCAAAGGUACUAGGUCCUCCAGGAAAAGCUUUAUAACGUCCUCACGAAGUAACCUAACAGCUUUUUCAUUGCUGGAAUUCUGAAUUGGUAGUACUUUUGUUUUCAAUAUAAUGUUGGUCUAAUAAUCAAUCACCCCUUCAAGGAUUCUUAGACAUGAUCUCUGUAAUUUACAUUUUAUAAUACUAUAACUCUGUUUUUCUAGUCUAUGUGGAUAUUGAGAUGCUAAAGACGCUUGCAACAUCUAGAUAAUUCCCUGCUUUAAAGCCAAAAUGGCCUGUGUAUGGUCCUGGUGUUCCUUGAAGUUUGCAAAGCUAACAGCUCUGAGUCCCCAGGAGGUUAGCCCACACAUAGCAGUCAGGGUGUGAUUCUCCUUCGGCAGCCUCCCAGCUCCCAGGUAAGUCAGCCUUCCGCUCCCUCUAUGGCUCCGUGAGCACUAACUCAUUCCGUGCCACCCUUCUGCUGCUGCUUCAGCAGCCCCUCAGCUUUCUCCUCUUUGACCGAUCUAAAACACUGCCAGAUUCAGCCACUGGCCUUCUCUUAGCAAUUUCCCCUUCUUUUGGACAUCCAUAGUAAAUAUUUGCAGAGAAAAUCCAAGUUCAAAAAUUUAUCUCUGGCUGGAUGUGGUGGCACACACCAGUAAUUCCAGCAUUUGGGAGGCCAAGGCAAAAGGACUGCCACAAGCACAAGGCCAGCCUGAGCUACAUAGUAAGUCUGAGGUCACCCCAGACCACAUGGUGAGACCCCGUCUCAGCAUAGUCCUGCCCCCAAAUUCACCUUUAUCAGUUAAAGUUAGGUACUCUGACCAUUACCAACUGAAAUAAAAAGUUUUAAAAAGAUAAAGCAUGGGUAACCUGAUAGUUAAUAAAUGAACCAUCUUUUUGCAUGAAAAAAUAAAAAUAAGAGGAGCAUAUGUUCUCCUAAAUGAAUGCUAACUAAAACCAUCUCACUGAAAUUUGAACUUUGUGCAUUUGUUUAUCAGGACAUAGUAUGGAAGAGGCCCCUUCUCAGCUGGGUUCAAAGCCCUUGAGGCACAAGUGUCUGAGGUGUGGAGUGAAUUACCAGAGCCCAAAGACCCACAGAAAGGCUAAGUAAUGCUGGAGAGCGCACAGUGUCCCCUGGAACAUCACUGUUCUGGGACUUAACAUGAAAAACCCUAGCUGCGGAGGGCAUGCUCGGGGCAAGGAUUAGUUUCCUCGUGUCUGGCAAUGCCAGAAAGGGCCACAUCUGUGGGCCACUGCUUGACGACAUCUGUCCAUGGUCAAACAUGAUCUGUGUGCCAAACAGAUGCCAGAUGAACUCAUUAUGGCUGACAAAGUUUCAAGGAAACCAAGUUUAUGUCAUCAUGUUUCUGGCCGUGUGACAGAGACCGAGGAAAUCAGCUGGUCACCAUCCCCAUAGAGCACCUCCAGUUCCAGAGAGUAUGGACUUACUUCAGGGGACAGGGUGUUACUGUGUUUCAGUUUCUCAUCCACACUGUCUUUUCGUUUCUGGAGCUGAUCCUUUUCUUUCUGAAGGGCUUGAACUUGUUCUGAAAUCUUCAUUUUCUCCUCAGCUGUGCUGCUCUGGAGCUGCACACUCUUUUUAGACAGUUCUUGGUCCAGUGUGUUCAGGCGAGCUGAGAUUCUAACACUGUCUGUGUUUAACGCCUGCAAAGAUACAAACCACCAGACACUCCAAAUAAAACUCUACUGCUUACAAGUCAGGAAGACACAGAGAAGAUUACUCAAUGGAAUAGACUGUUACCAUUUCCAUAAUUCUUUUCUCCCAUGGACCUUUUGGGAUCAAGAUAUACAAUCUUAAAUUACUUAAUAUAAAAAAGUGUAGACUCAUGCUAUGAAUUUAUUAUCAAGUAUACCUUGGCUAGGUUUGAAAGGUAAGAUUUUUAUUUUUUCUUUUCUAAAUUGAACUUUUCUUCUUUGGCCUGUUAUAUGCUUCUCAUUCCCCAGAGGCUAAGAUUUGGUGAGUCUAAACAUAUUUUGUUUCUAUUCUCUUAGUUCAAUCUAGUAAGAAAAUGUGGCUAAAUCUGCUCAGGUUUACGGACAUGUUUAUUAUAAUUUAAAAUAAUUUAUUAUAAAGUUCUCUUGGUACUAGGGAUUGAACCAGAGGAACAUGCCAGGCAAGAACUCUACCACUGAGAUACAUCCUAUGUCCCUUUAAAAUGUUACUUUGAGACAAAGAGUUCCAUUAAGUUGCCCAGGUUAGCCUCAGACUUGCAAUUUCCUGCCUUAGCUUCUAGAGUAGCUGGGAUCACAGACAUUCACCAGCAUACCUGGCUUGUGUAUAUAUAUAAUCAUAUAUAUGAUUUAAUAUGUCUAUGUGUAUAUUAUCAUAAAGUUUAUAACUUACAAAAUGCAGUAGUCUCCAGCAAACUUUUACCUGAAUACAUCUCUCCAGAAACAGCCUCCUGCAAUCUUUUUAGCAGUUUUUUCUCGUGUUUAUAUCCAUGUCCCUAAAUAACAUUACCAAUUUUGGUGUUGUCUGUUAACUGCGGGUAACAGUAGUAAGGGUUUAGUACUCACACCUCCCCGCCUCUCCUCCCUGCCAAUGCUGUAUUACAGCUUUUAGUUAAAUCAUUAUUUAUCUAAUUAGGACUUUGUGACUAGUAUUUACUCACAGCUAAAUCAGCAUAUUUCCAUUUGAUUUUCUGCACCUUAAAACUAACUUUUUUCAAUCUGUUCCUUUCUGGAAACAUGGACAGAUUCUCCAUCCUCCUGCUCUGAAUAGGACUAGUUGUCCUGAGACUUGACUUGGGUACGUCCUAGGAAUUUCUGUUUUGGAUCACACCUUUCAGAAUUCAGACUCUUCCUCUUUUGUUGUUUAUAUUUUUUCUUUUUUAUGGUCCUGGGAAUUGAACACAGUCUUUGCACUGAACUACAUUUCAAGCCCUUUUUAUUUUUUAUUUUGAGACAGUGCCUCAUUAAAUUAACCAAGUUUAACUCCACCUUGCAGUCUGUCUGUCUCACCCUCCCUGACUGCUGGGAUUAUAAAGUCUAUGCUUUUAUUUUCAUGACGCACAUCCUCUGCUAGUUCCCUGAGACAGCUUGAUACAGGAGCUUUUUUUAAUGGCACUAUUCUGCCUUCACAUUUGAUUAAGGGAUUUGCUAAUAAGAGAAUGAAAUAACUUUUUGCCUGAAUUUAAAAUUUGCUUCAGUCUUUUAAACUCCAAAGACAGUUGAGAAAUCCGUGUCUCUGGUUCUUGAAACUGACAAAUGACCAGCCUUUCCAAUUACACCCAAACCUUCACCAUGUGCUGGGCACUCAUUUUAUAGGCCUCUUGCAGGGCUAUUUCAGCCUGAACCAUGCAUCCUCAGUGUUGGGGCGACUGUUUAUAUUAUGCCUUUUAAUCACCUCUUUUCUAUUGUAUCUUUUUGGAAUUCCUAUUAUUUGAGUGUUGACUUCCUGGGUUUAUCUGCCAUUUAAAAAAUUUCCCUCUAUUUUCUAGUGAUUUAUCUUGUUAGUUUCUAGGGUAUUUCUUUAACAUUAUCCUCUAUCCCUGAUAAUUCCCAGUAGUUAUUUCAUGCUUGUUAUAUGGAUAAUGUAGCAUCUUUUGCCACAUUGAUAUUAAGGUAUUUUUUGAAGAUUUUUCAGUUCUUUGACUGUCCUUAAUUUUUCUGAGUUUCUUUGUUCCAUUUGUCUUGGUGACAUCUCUUUCAAAUUGGUGGCAUUAAGAAUCAGGUAUUAAAAAGCUGAUAAGAUAGCAUAAGAUACAUGUAGGAGCCAGGCCUGGUGGUGCACAUUGGUAAUCUCAGCACUGGGAGGCACAGGGGAGGCUGAGGCAGGACAAUCACCAUGUUUGAGGUUAGUCUGGGCUAUACAUAAGCAAGUUCAAAGCCAGCCUGAACUGCAUAGUGAGAUCCUGUUUCAAACAAAUAAAGAUACAUACAGGAUUUCAAAGGUGAUUUCAAGCUUUUUUAAUUUUUUUACAGGGCUGGUUUCAGAAGAGCAGCUUGCUGGGAGGUAAGAAUGUGACCACCAGCAUCUGGGAUGUGGGGGCGGCCCUCAGAACUCUUAUGCAGACUAGUACCCAGUGUAUCUUUGGGAUACCCUAUUCACCCUGACUCUCUGCUGUACAUGGUUCUCCUGGUGCCAGGCGAGAAAAGAAGUUUCCUGAGUGUAUCCAGUUUUUUUUCCUGUGCCUCACUCUUGCCUUCUUAAUUCUGUUCUUUGAGUCUUUUUGAUGGUCCAUGUGAUUUUUAUUUUUGAGACAGGGUCUGUGCAGUUCAGGCUGGCCUCAAACUCAUGGCAAUCCUCCUGCCUCAGCCUCCUGAGUGCUAGGAUUACAGGCAUGCCCCACCAUACUCAGCUGAAUUAUAUCUUUUUAAAGCUGGUUUUUUGUUGUUGUUGUUUGAAUUUUUAAAGGGAAAUUAAAGCUAAAGUGUUGGCUUUCAUAAGCACUUGGAUUCCAGGUUCUUCUGUUCUGUUAAGUCAAUAGAUGCUCAUCUGUUUGCUUAGACUGUUUUGUGGGGGAGUAGCCUUUUCCUCUGUUACCUCUUCUACUGUCUUCAUAGGUUUUUUUUUCUGAACAAAUUAGGAGAUAUAAUUCACACGUCACACAAUUCACCUAUUUACAUGUAAAAGGUUUUAGUAUAUUCAACUAUCACAACCAGUGUUAGAGCAUUUCAUCACUCACAAAAAGAAACCUCAUACCUCAGCCAUCAUUCUAUUUGUUCCCCAAGCCCUCACCAGAUCUAGGCAACCAUUAUUCUACUGCCUGUCUGUAUGGAAUUGCCUAUUAUGGACACCUAGUAUAAACGGCAUUAUACAAAGGUGGUCUGUCACGACUGGCUUAUCUCAUCUAACAUGUAUUUUCAAAGUUCGCCCAUAUUGUAGCAGGUAUCAGUGUUCCAUUACUCUUUACUGCCAACUGAUUAUUCUAUUAUACAAAUACAUCUGUUUGUUCACCUAUUUAUCAGUUGACAAAUAUUUGUGUUGAUUUAUAUUUUAGUUAUUAUAAAUAAUGUUACCAUGAACAUUCACGUUCAAGUUUUUGUCUGCACAUAUUUACUUCUCUUGGAUAUAUAUACACACACUUAGCAUUGGAACUGCUGGGUCCCAUGGUAUUUCUUAUGUUUAACCUUGUGAAGAACUCAAGAGCCAGGGAUUUAGCUCAGUGGUAUAAGCACCUGGCUGGCAAGCACAAUAUCAUGAGUUCAAUCCCAGGUACCAAAAAAGAACUCCAAGAUAGUUCUUCUCCAAAGCAACUAUAUCAUUUUAUAGUCCACCAGCAAUAGAUGAAGUUUCCAGUUUCUCAACCUUUUCACCAACACUUAUUAUUUGUUUUUCUGAUUGCAGCUAUCUUAACGAGUAUAAACUUGUACCUCAUUUAACUUUUGAUUGUAUUACCAUCAUGGCUAAUGAUGUUGUGCAUCUUUUAAUGUGAUUAACAGCCUUUGCAGAAAAUCCCCUUUUCCAUUGUGUUAUGCUUUAUGUCUAGAAGUCCCCCAAAGCUUCAUGUGCUCAUAGGUGGGGCUUUUGGGAGGUGACUGGAUUAUGGAGGCAUAGUAUAGCUAAAUGUAAUGUUGGAAGGUGAAGCCUUAUUGGAAAAAAUGGUCACUGAGGGGGCAUGGCCUGGAAGAGUCUAUCUCCCUCCUUCCUUUGAUCUCUGUUUCUGCUUCCUGCCUGACAUGCCACAAGCUGUUUGUCCUCUGCACUGCCUCUCUGCCAAGCCACUCUGCCCUAGAGCCAGCCAACUAUGGACCAAAAUCUCUACAAACUGUGAGCCAAAUAAAUCUUUCCUUUAACUUGUGAAUGUCAGGUAUUUUGUCCCAGCAACAAAAAAGUAUGUAAGACAAGGUGGUUAUCUGUUUUAGAGAAAAGUCUUUUCAAAUCCUUUGCUAAUUUUUAAGUAAGUCAUCUUUUUAUUAUUGAGUUGUAAGAGUUCUUUAUAUAUUUUUAGCCUCUUAUCAGAUACAUGAUUUUCAGAUAUUUCCCUCAUUCUAUAAGUUGUCUUUGUAUUUUCUUGCUAGUGUCCUUUGCAUCACAAAUUUUUAUAUUUUGAUAGUUUAUCUGUUGUCACAAAAAUGUAUGCCUAUGUGUUCCUUUAAGAGGUUUAUUAUUUUUGUCUGUAGGUCUGUGUACAUGUUAAGCUAAAUUUGUAUAAAAUGUGACUAUAUUUCUUUUCUGUCAUUUUAGUGCAAUAAUAUGCAUGAGUUCAAUCCAUCAUGUUCCUUGUCUGAAAUGCAUACAAUCGAGUUUUAUAAAUACUUCUUAAACUUUGACAAAGAUACAAUUUUUUUAUGCCUUUUGUUCAGGAAAGAACCAGUUGGGUAACAGCCUUAAGUUUCUUUUAUGUUUCUUUAACAUGUUCCUUCCAGCUUAAAUCACCCUUAGUACAUGUGUGACUGUCCAUCAGUGGCUUGCACCACUAGUGGUAAAAACAGGUCUGAUAACUGUUAUUGGUCUUUUAACAAGACAGUCAUUGCUCACAUACCUCCAGUGGUACAAGCUGCCCAGCAGCGAGACAUACAAAUUAUGGCCCCAUGGUGAACAUGUUAGGACAAUUUUUCAAACAAUUGGCUUUGCACUGCUUUAUUGUGGUUUUCAUUAUUUGCACUCCCUGGUUACCUCAGUAUGUUCUUGCUUAUAAAACAGAAAUUAGCUGUUUUUGUUUCCUUUUCUGUACCAUAAAGUUAACUCAUUUCAAAGAAAAUACUUUCCCCUUCUCAUUCUUAUUUUCCUUUUCUUUUCUUAUACAGAACAUAUUAUAAUGUGUUGUUAUCAUAACUUUUCCUCACUUGAUAUUUAAUUUGUUAAUUUCUGCCUAUUAUUCACAUGUUCGGAGGAAUAUAUUUUACCCUUCUGCCCUGACAGUGAGUUUUAGCAAGUUACAUAUCUGAAUGUAUCACCUGCAGCUAAAUCUGUAAAGGGGCCACCAUCAAAUCUGUGUCCAGUGGCUGGCUGUGAAAAGCCACUGCAGUGUAGACUCAAAUGGAGCAGAGGUAAGUACAGCUCGUCAUCGGUGUGUACCUGCUAUGUCAGUGUGGAGAGAUUAACAACACACCACCAACUCCACCCCUAAAGAGCUAGAUACUGACUGAAAGCCAUGGCUAAUAGAUUGGGCAGGUCACUGUCCUCUGUUCUGUAACUCAGUAAGCAGACUGAUACUGGACCCAAGGCUGUCAAAGAUGAAGGUAACAGGUAUAAAACCUUCAAGUCUGGUCAAGCCAGUCUCAUUUUUAGAUGCUACUGUUUGUGUCCUAUUUCUCCUACAAUCAUUCCUUUUUCAAAAGUAAUCUAUAAUCAUUCCUAUAAACUCAACUAUCAAACUACUUCUUUAGCUCACUCAUAAAGUACAAAUCCUCCCGGAAUAACUUUGGUGAAGGUCUAAGUCUUUAUAAUUAAAAAAAAGGGGGGGGGUUAUUAUACAAAAUCUCCUUUCUUUGCAAACUCCUAACUUACAGUAAUGGUUUCAGCCAGAGAGAUUUCAAGUCUAUUUUUCCAAAUUACAAAUGUUCACUAGAAAGCAAGGCACAACUAAUUUAACAUUAACGCUACUAAUAGACAAUGCCAGGAGCUAGAAGUGGGGGAGAUGGGCAUCACUGCUUAAUGAUUAGGAUUUAGGUGAAUAUAAUCAAUGCUACUAAAUUGUAUACCUAAAAACAACUAAAAUGGAGCUGGGGGAUUUGUUCAGUGGUAAGGCUCUUUCCUGGCAUGUGCAAGGCUCUGACUUCAGUCUCUAGUACAAUGUAAAACAGGUAAAUUUUAUGUUCAGCAUAUUUUGGCAAAAUAAAAAGUUAAUAGCAAAUCGUAUUUGGAAGAAUAUUUAACACUUCACAGUGAUAUAUGUGUAUCCAUGUUUAUAGCAGCACAAUUUGUAAUAGCCAGAUCUUGGAAACAACCUAAGUGUCCAUCAACUGAGGAAUGGAUAAAAAAGUUGUGAUAUUUUCAUACAGUGGAGUAUUACUCAGCUAUAAAGAAGGAUCACAUUGAGAUAUUUAUAAAUAAAUGGACGCAACUUGAGACCAUACUCAAAUCAAACUCACAUAUAUAAAUACUAUAUAGUAUCCCUAGUGUAAGAAAUGGUAGGAGUACAUCAGUAUGGUAAUCAUGAUUUCCCAUUACAUUGCUUUGAAGCCUUAUAAUGUUUGCAUUCAUUAGUUGGAAUGGUUUUAUUCUGUUUUGUUUGAUUUUAUCAUCUGUGAUAGUAUGAAUAGCUAUUUUGAAGAAAACAAAACGUUAUAAUAGCCAGUGCUGAUUUAAUAUCAUCUUACUCUGAAGUCCUACCAUGCUUUUGUUCUUCUGUCUCCAUUGGUUCUAUCAGAUUAUAUCUUAUUAGAUUUUAUUAGGUGUGACAGUAUAAACAAAUUUUCUAUGGAAAAUGAGAUAUUAUAGUAGCCAUUGUAUGUUCUCUGUUAUUUAGUUCUGAAUGCCCUGUAAUUCUUUCAUUUUCUUGAAUAGUUUUAUACUAUUUUGUUACAUUUGAUGCUAUCGUAUAUGAAGUUAUGCUCAACUAUUUCAAAGAAAGAGACAUGGUAGUUACUGUUAAUUAUGGGUUGUCUUGUGGUAAAAUGCUGUGUUGCUUUAAAAAAAAAGAAUAUUUAAUACUUCAAUUCAAAAUUCCUAUAGAUUUUGGUUAUGGUGAUUAGAUAAGUAAAAUUAAGCAAGGUACACAGAAAACAAGAAUAGUUCUCUUUUGGUUUCCAACUUGGCAAUGAUAUAAAAUGCCUCUUGAAAGAAAAAAAAACUAGGACUAGAAUCAAACAGAAAAUUAAAAAAAAUACCUGACUAGAUCUCAGCUUCUUGCUUUCCAGCCGGCUUUUUUCUUGAAGCAGGGCCUCUUUCUUAGAAAGUAUGGCCUCCCGCUUCUUCAGGUCUUCUUCCAGCUCUUCUAAUUCUUGGCGUUGGUUCAGAACCUUCUCUACUUCUUCAUCCAACCAUUUCUUCUGUUCAUCCAAUUUCUACAUGAAAAUUCCAAAGAAAUGUUCUCAUGUUUUUCUUUCUACCAUAAAAAUUAUAUGGUAGCAAUAUAAUUUCAGAUGAAAAAAUUGGAAUGAAUGCAUAAACAGUCAGAGUGACUCAUGUUCCUGUCUGGAACCCUAAGGAGGUGAAUACAUUACUGCUGUUUUCUAGGAAAUUAAAAAUUUAUUCCCUAGAUAUGUUAAAGAGUCUGGAGAACUGGGCCCUGACAAAGGAAAGGUUGACAAUCUUUCUGAAUACUGAUCUUUUUGGAUAUUGUGCUAAGAAGGCCAGGCUCCUGCCCACAGAGGAGAGUGACUCCGCUACAGCACAAGACAACACUACCCCUCCUCAUGCCUCCACUUUCCUGAGCUGCUCGAGUGCUUGUUUCUGGUCUUCUUUCCAUUUAUCCUGACUCACAGUUGGCACCCAAUAAAAUAUCAAAAGAAUGUGUAAUUAAAAACUUUAUUCAAUCAACUAAUAAAUAGAGUAAAGUAGUUGAUACACACAGGAAAACUUACAAAGAUAGAGGAUGAAUCAAAUCUACAGUAGACCUUGUCAACUUCAGAUAUUAGUAAGUAAAAGAGCUGGAAAGAUACUCCACAUGAAUACCUUAAUAUUCUCACAAAACAUACCCCAGGUAGGAGUGGUGGUGCAUGCUUAUAAGUUAAGCACUCUGGGAGGCUGAGACAGGAAAAUCACAAGUUCUAGCUUACUGUGGCUAACUCAGUGAUUUAGUGAGACACUGUCUCAAAAUAAAAAAUGAGAAAUCAGUGAAGAUGUACCUCAAUGCAAAGGUAUUGUCAUUUAAUCCCCAGUACCACAAAAAUAAGUGAAUUACAUUAAAUUAAAUAAGGGAGAAUACAUUUUUCAAACUUAAGAUGAACUUCCUAUUUUGAGUGUAAUGACAAUUCUAAGUACACUGUUUUUAUAAAAUAUUUCAAUUUCUUUGAACCUUGAAAUUAGCUUAUAGAUUGUGACAUAUAUUUUUUAAUGUGCUAAAGUAAUAGCUCUUUAAUACAAAAUACUUUGGUUCACAAAUGAUUCUGUCUGCAAACAAAUAUUUGGCAAAAUUUUCCUUCCAGUCACAAACUCCCUAUCAGGUGAUAAACAAUGGCCAUCUUUUGGUUUUACAAAAAUCAAGUUUACAAAAAUCAAAGUACUACUGUACAUUGUAUCAGUGGUGGCAAACCUAUGGUACAUGUGUUACUAUGUUUUUCUUUUAACACAAAAUAUGUUAACAUAGUUAUUUUUUCAAAACUAAAAUGUCACUAUGCAGGUUUAAUUGCAGGGUUGGUACUUUGUGAUAAGUAAGUGGGUUUGGGGCUCCAUUUGGCAAUUCAUAUCUAAAGGGUUUGCCAUUACCAUAUUAUGUAUAUGAUCUGAUUCUGUUUGAAUGUAGACUCCUGAUUUUCAGAAAUAUACUGGUCUCCAUGAUAAUAAACCUGAUUAAAAUUGAAACAUAGAUUUCAUGUUUACGUUCCAUAACAUUCAAGGAAGUUCAAUUCCACUGAAAUAAAAAUACAGCACAUUUCUGGAUAAGAAAAUAAAUAUUUUAAUAGCAGGCAUUUCAGGAAAAAUACUAGAAAUUGAGCAUGCAAGUGGCAAAAAAGUUUGGUGUUUAAAGAUUUUAUUCAGCAUCCACCACUUUUCAUCUCUACUUAGUCCUCAAAAGUGGAAAGAAACUAAAAACGCUAAACAGAAUCAACAAACCUGGAGUUGGUUUUUACUUCCAAAAGGUCCUUUCUUUGUUUUCAAGUUACACGUAUCAAGAUCUUCAGCCUUCAGUUUCAGACCUUUUUUCUGUCCUGUUUUUAAUUGUAGUUCCUAUAGAAAAAAAUUUAAAACUCUUUAGUCAUUUACUGCGUGGCUAUCAUUAAAUAUGUAAAUGAUAACUUGUUUUCUUUUUUCUUGUUUUCCCCUCAGUGCAGGGGCUUGAAUGUUGGGCUUUGUACUUUCUAAGUGCACAUUCUGUCACUGAGCCAAGCCCAUAACAUUUACAUUCCUACUUGCAAAAAUAGAGAAAAAAUGUACAUUAGGGUUGGGACUAUUUGAAAAGAAAAAAAUUUCCCUGAGGCAAAAAUAUCGAACUGCAAAACUCAAGAUUUUUUUUUCAUUCUUUGUCUUAUAAAAUAGCAUAAAAGGAGUAAGAGCCUAAAACUUACAAAUGACUUUUCUCUUUUUCCUGAGCUCAUGGUCUUCAUGAUUAGCCCACCUAAGACAGCUGCCUGCCAUGGGUAUAUUAGAAUUUUACAGUAGAAACGCAAAAAGGACAUUAAUAUGUAUGUUUCUGGUACUAAAAAUGUAAAUCUGCAACAUAAGAACAGCACAGUGAGGCAUCAUGGUUCUGUGAAAUGUGUCUUCUAAAUCCCUUUAGUUUUCAUCUACAUCCUAAGGGUCAAGUCAAGAGGCCCAGUGCUCAUGGUGCGCUCUUGGGUAUAGAGAAAGUGCUGCUGCCUCACCCCCAAAGAUUGGCAGGAAUCAGGAUGGAGGCCCUGGAUGGAAGUGGGCUCUUUCACAUCUGUUACUGGUCCAAAAUGGCCACGUACAGAAUUGAAAGUUUUAAGUGUUUACUUUUAUAGCAGUUUAAUAGGAUGGCUUUUAUCUUUACUGACUCCAAUAAUUUUAAAAAUGCAUUUUUAUUUUUAUAUUUUAACUUCAUUUUUCUACUAAUUCAUGUUUUUGUAAGACUACUGGGCUGUGGCAAAUUUGUAAUGAAAUGAAAACUGUACUUUCUCCAACAGGAAAUUACAGAAGCACUGAGAAAAGAGUAAAAGGAAAGACUAAGUAUUUUCCAGCCCUGGGAACGGCAGAGAGAAGUCUAUUUCCCAGUCAUCCUUUUUGUUGAAAUCCUGAUUUUCAGAAAUAUACCAGUUGCCCUGAGUUUUGGCCCAGACAGAGGGUAAUAAGCAAAGGCUAUCAGUGAGGGAAGAAGGGGCCCUCACUCACCUGGGAGAAAGACCACACACUACAGUGCAGAGACCUCCUACCUCACGGGACUGCCCAGGCACACUGGAGGAAGGAGAGGUAACUCAGGCAGGAGGAGAAUUACACUCCUUAUAGUCUCAUAAGCCAUGGAUACUGAGGCCAAUGCAUGCCAGGUAUUAUGGGGAACGGGCCACAAAACUUGGGGUAAGGGCAAGCCACUGGGCUAGCAAGUGAGACAGAAGGUUUAGGAGCCUUGGCAUGAGUUUACAAGGCCAGAGGGAGAUGAGAUAAAAACCAAAGCACUCCUAUGCUCUAAGCUAGAAGCCAGAGCAGCCCAAGGUGGUCAAGUUUGGGCUUCAUCACUAGAAGCCCUGGGCAAGUGGCCCAGGGAGCGCAGAUUCCACACCCUCUAUGGGAUGCAUAGAGACCCAUGUGUCCAGCCACACAUGUCCUGGGCGCCAUUCUGAGAGAAGAGAUGUGCAGGAGGGAAGAGGCUAGGAGAAUGAAAACUGUCACUUAAGGGGCCUAAGAAUUAUUAAAAAGCAAUGUUUACAUUUUAAGAAUAAGGUAAGAAUAGACAGGGCUUUUGGUUGGUUCCUUCUGUAUUUCUAGCACAGUAAUUACCAUGAGUGGGAUAGUAGAAGCCUAGGGUAGGGGUGGCGAGGAGGUGCUCACAGAAGGCAGGUCUGCUUUACGUUAAAUAAAUUUUCUAUGCACA